ACUCCUACGGGAGGCAGCAGUUGGGGAAUAUUGCACAAUGGGGGGAACCCUGAUGCAGCCAUGCCGCGUGUGUGAAGAAGGCCUUCGGGUUGUAAAGCACUUUCAGUUGUGAGGAAAGGGAUGUAGUUAAUACCUGCAUUCUGUGACGUUAGCAACAGAAGAAGCACCGGCUAACUCCGUGCCAGCAGCCGCGGUAAUACGGAGGGGGUUAGCGUUGUUCGGAAUUACUGGGCGUAAAGCGCACGUAGGCGGACUAUUAAGUUAGAGGUGAAAUCCCAGGGCUCAACCCUGGAACUGCCUUUAAUACUGGUAGUCUUGAGUUCGAGAGAGGUGAGUGGAAUUCCGAGUGUAGAGGUGAAAUUCGUAGAUAUUCGGAGGAACACCAGUGGCGAAGGCGGCUCACUGGCUCGAUACUGACGCUGAGGUGCGAAAGUGUGGGGAGCAAACAGGAUUAGAUACCCUGGUAGGAUAG
rnacentral:rRNA from 1 species